CUCAAAGAUUAAGCCAUGCAUGUAUAAGUAUAACCUGCCAGACAGGGAAACUGCGUACGGCUCAUUACACCAGCCUUAAUUUGCUUGACCUUGACACCCUACUUGGAUAACUGUGGUAAUUCUAGAGCUAAUACAUGCACAAAAGCUCCGCUCUUCCUAGAGCAGAGUGCAUUUGUUCGCCACAAAACCAAGCGCCCCCAUGGGCGUUCUGUGUUGACUCAGAACAACUAAGCUGAUCGCACGGUCUUGCACCGGCGACGUGUCUUUCAAGUGUCUGCCUUAUCAACUUUCGAUGGUGGUGUAUCUGACCACCAUGGUGAUGACGGGUAACGGAGGAUCAGGGUUCGACUCCGGAGAGGGCGCCUGAGAAAUGGCGACCACGUCUAAGGAUGGCAGCAGGCGCGCAAAUUACCCACUCUCGACUCGAGGAGGUAGUGACGAGAAAUAACGAGGCUGUUCUCGAUUGAGGCCAGUCAUCGGAAUGGGUACAAUUCAAACCCUUUAACGAGUAUCUAUGACAGGGCAAGUCUGGUGCCAGCAGCCGCGGUAAUUCCAGCUGUCAAAAUGCAUAGAAUUAUUGCUGCGGUUAAAAAGCUCGUAGUUGGAUCUGUGCUAGGUGUUCGGUCUGCCCUCUGGGUAUGCACUGGUGCGCCCGGCUUUCCCGCCGGUCUCUCCCUGAUGUUGGCUUUAACCGGCUGGCAUCAGUGGGCUGGCAGCUUUACUUUGAACAAAUCAGAGUGCUUCAAACAGGCGUCUCGCCUGAAUGUUCGUGCAUGGAAUAAUAGAAGAGGAUCACGGUCCGAUUUUAUUGGUUUUGCUGACCGAGAUAAUGGUUAACAGAGACAAACGGGGCCAUUCGUAUUGCUACGUGAGAGGUGAAAUUCUUGGACCGUAGCAA
rnacentral:rRNA from 1 species